UGGAAAUGAAAACAUAUCAAGGAAAAUCAUGUAUAUAUAAGAUGGAGAAAUUAGUGUUUAGCUUGGAUGGCAACUCCAACUAUUCAAGAUAGGAAAUAUAUUUCCAACAAGCACUACACCACUUCGUUAUUCAUCAGCUCCUCCCUCCUCAAGGAAGUCACAAAAGUGACUGAGAUAGUAUGAAGCAAAGCAAAAGUGAAAUAAUUUAGAAGCCACGGUUAUUGGUCUUGG
rnacentral:misc_RNA from 1 species